rnacentral:lncRNA from 1 species
AGUAACAGAAAACAGACCUGGAAACAAUGUGAAGGUGGCCUAAACUGUUGACAUGUCUAUAUAAGUCCAGUCAUCCUGCCUCGCCAGUCACAUCCUGAUACACUGUACACCAGACAAGGUUCAUUAGUUGUCUGUAGUUAGUCCCAGGGUGUUGCUGUCUACACUACAGUCCACCAUCCUGCCAUCAUGGGCGUGGUCAAAGUCAUGGCAACUGUUCUUCUGCUGGCUGUCCUGCUACACUCAGGCUGCCAGGUGACUUCCUCUCGUGAUGGUAGAAACAGGACCCGAGAAGCUUCCCUCUCUCAGUCUGUGACGUCAUUCGGAGCCUCGCUUUACCGCCAGCUGACAUCCGGCAACUUGGACAACCUCAUCUUCUCUCCUUUCAGUGUCUUCGUGGCUCUCACUAUGACUUUGUUAGGAGCCAACGGCAACACAAAGCGAGAA